rnacentral:rRNA from 1 species
CCUACGGGAGGCAGCAGUGGGGAAUUUUGGACAAUGGGCGCAAGCCUGAUCCAGCCAUGCCGCGUGCGGGAAGAAGGCCUUCGGGUUGUAAACCGCUUUUGUCAGGGAAGAAAAGGUUCUGGCUAAUACCUGGGACUCAUGACGGUACCUGAAGAAUAAGCACCGGCUAACUACGUGCCAGCAGCCGCGGUAAUACGUAGGGUGCAAGCGUUAAUCGGAAUUACUGGGCGUAAAGCGUGCGCAGGCGGUUAUGCAAGACAGAGGUGAAAUCCCCGGGCUCAACCUGGGAACUGCCUUUGUGACUGCAUAGCUAGAGUGCGGCAGAGGGGGAUGGAAUUCCGCGUGUAGCAGUGAAAUGCGUAGAUAUGCGGAGGAACACCGAUGGCGAAGGCAAUCCCCUGGGCCUGCACUGACGCUCAUGCACGAAAGCGUGGGGAGCAAACAGGAUUAGAUACCCUGGUAGUCCACGCCCUAAACGAUGUCAACUGGUUGUUGGGAGGGUUUCUUCUCAGUAACGUAGCUAACGCGUGAAGUUGACCGCCUGGGGAGUACGGCCGCAAGGUUGAAACUUAAAAGUAGUAAUUGACCGGNGNGAGAGNGACGACGACGACGACGAGGGAGGAGG